rnacentral:rRNA from 1 species
GAUGAACGCUGGCGGCGUGCUUAACACAUGCAAGUCGAACGAUGAAGCCCAGCUUGCGGGGUGGAUUAGUGGCGAACGGGUGAGUAACACGUGCGUAACCUGCCCUUAACUCUGGGAUCAGCCUGGGAAACUGGGUCUAAUACCGGAUCGGAGCGUCCACCGCAUGGUGGGUGUUGGAAAGACUUAUCGGUUUUGGAUGGACUCGCGGCCUAUCAGCUUGUUGGUGAGGUAAUGGAUCACCAAGGCGACGACGGGUAGCCGGCCUGAGAGGGUGACCGGCCACACUGGGACUGAGACACGGCCCAGACUCCUACGGGAGGCAGCAGUGGGGAAUAUUGCACAAUGGGCGCAAGCCUGAUGCAGCGACGCCGCGUGAGGGAUGACGGCCUUCGGGUUGUGAACCUCUUUCAGUAGGGAAGAAGCGAAAGUGACGGUACCUGCAGAAGAAGCACCGGCUAACUACGUGCCAGCAGCCGCCGUUAA